GGCGAAGUGGCCGAGUGGUCAUGGCGCUGUGUUCAGGUUCCUGAGGCGUUAUAGCACCAGGACAAAAUCGCAGUAUCGAAAGAUUCGCGCGUUCGAAUCGCGUCUUCGUCA
rnacentral:tRNA from 1 species